UGUACUGUCUACCUAAUUUCGACUUUUCUCGAGGAAAUGGUUUCAAUGGGAUCCAUGUUACCUUUAGGGCAAUUUUUAUGAACUUUUAAACGAUUUCCAAGCCAUAUAGGUCCAGCUACUACACUACUAUCAAAUGUUACACGCAGCUGAACCAAGCAUGGCUAAGAAACGACAAAACAAAAGUAAAAAGAAAACAAGAAAAUCGGGAAACACUGACUGCUCUCAACUUGUUCUGAACGAAAAUGCUGCGCAGCUAGGGAAUAACUCAAGCGAGCUUGUUCCAUGGUCCCCGGCUUCAAGAGCGAGUCUGCGACUGUACAGGCUUGUGUGCUUCCACCGCAUUCGCUCUGACGGAAGUGUUGACUGCUCGCCGGACUUCUGUCUGCUUGUGCCGCCAACGAGAACCAUACCUGAGCGCUCCCACCAACUGGUAUCUCCAGAAUAUCCGAAUGCUAGUCGCAAUAAUAACAACAACGCUGUUCUAAUUGUUGUUGUUUUGCUUCUCGCUUUUAUGGUAGUUCUUGGAUUAAAUUGGUGGUGAUUCUGAAACCUUCCAAACGGAAUAAUGAACACGUACAAUGCAUCCUGUGUCCCUGUGCUCUCUUACAAAUUAACCAUAAAACGGAGAUGCAAUUAGUUACUGAGGAUUCUGUGUGCCUUUUACAUAGGAAAUCGUGCAGUGAGCUGACCCUUUUUUACAUUUAAUGCAUUCCUUUCAUUGUUGAAACUAUGAUGAUUACCCCUAAAACAUCUUAUUGUAUUUCAACCUUUUCAAAAAACACGUCUAAUUUGUUUAAAUUUAUACUUGGACAUGUUUUGAAAUAAACUGUUGUAAAACUAUG